UACGUAGGGACCGAGCGUUGUCCGGAAUCAUUGGGCGUAAAGAGCGUGUAGGCGGCCACUUAAGUCCUGCGUGAAAUCUUGCGGCUCAACCGCAAGCGGUCGUGGGAAACUGGGUGGCUAGAGUGCGGGAGAGGAGAGUGGAAUUCCUGGUGUAGCGGUGAAAUGCGCAGAUAUCAGGAAGAACACCCGUGGCUAAGGCGGCUCUCUAGUACGGUACUGACGCUGAGGAGCGAAAGCGUGGGGAGCGAACAGG
rnacentral:rRNA from 1 species